UACAGAGGUCCCGAGCGUUGUUCGGAUUCAUUGGGCGUAAAGGGUGCGUAGGUGGUUAGGUAAGUCGGAUGUGAAAUCCCGGGGCUCAACCCCGGAACUGCAUUCGAUACUGCCUGGCUAGAGUACUGGAGAGGAGAUUGGAAUUUACGGUGUAGCAGUGAAAUGCGUAGAUAUCGUAAGGAAGACCAGUGGCGAAGGCGGAUCUCUGGACAGUUACUGACACUGAGGCACGAAGGCCAGGGGAGCAAACGGG
rnacentral:rRNA from 1 species